GGGCUUGUGGUUUAGUGGUAUAAUACUCCCUUAGCACGUGACCGACGAUGAUGAGGAUUCAUCUCAUGGAUGGAUUACUAACUUGUUCGGUUCGUCUUAAUUUGGGAGUGGUCCGGGGUUCGAUUCCCCGCGAGUCCA